UACGAAGGGGGCUAGCGUUGCUCGGAAUGACUGGGCGUAAAGGGCGCGUAGGCGGUUUCCAAAGUCGGGCGUGAAAUUCCCGGGCUCAACCCGGGGGCUGCGCUUGAUACUUGGAGACUGGAGUGAGGAAGAGGGUCGUGGAAUUCCCAGUGUAGAGGUGAAAUUCGUAGAUAUUGGGAAGAACACCAGUGGCGAAGGCGGCGACCUGGUCCUUGACUGACGCUGAGGCGCGAAAGCGUGGGGAGCAAACAGG
rnacentral:rRNA from 1 species